GCUUAUCACCAUUCCAGAUUGAAUAUACCCGAUCUCGUCUGAUCUCGGAGACAAGCAAUCUCGGGCUUGGUUAGUACUUGGAUGGGUGACCGCUUGGGAAUACC
rnacentral:rRNA from 1 species